rnacentral:lncRNA from 1 species
UCAUGAGCAGCAUAUAUGCAGUCCUUUGUUCUGAUAAUAAUAUGAAUAUUUGUUAUUACAUCAACAGUGAUAUAUCCGUUAUUACAUAAAUGAAAACUAGAAGGAUUAAAAAUUACACCAAUUGGUUUAUCUUAUUCGAAACUGGAGCAAAAGCUGAGGAAGAGAGCUGCAAUGAUCUCUCUUGCGAUGAUCUCUUCACAUAAAAAGAAAAGGAAUCGCCUAAUGACGAAAGUUCCUUCUCAUCUUCGUGGAUCGUAUCCAACACUUUUGACAUGCAAUGCCGUCUGAUGGAAUUGACAAACAGUGGUGGUGCCACUUCAGAAACAUACCUGGCCAUCAGGGAGGUUGCCAUAUGUUUAAUCUUUUUAACUGAAGAAUGAAUAACCAGGUAGAAUUGAACUAAGAUUGAAGUGUUGUGAUUUCAAACUGUGUUCUUGUUUGAUAUUUAUAGGGGUUCCCUUAAAAAGUAAUUAUAGCUAAAAGUGGAUAACUGCUUGGAAAAUGUAGGCUUUUGGCUAUAACCGCGUUACCAGUCAUAAUCUGAGUGCCCUCUUGAUCCAUCUCAACUCGUAGGGACGAUUCACUUUUUGUAUUAAUUGUAAAUUGAUUGGCUUUGUCUCUUCACUUAAAGUUCGCCGUGAAAUUAUAGAGCAGGAUUUAUAUAGUAGUUGAGUCAAUUAAGUUAGAUGCUAGAUAAUGAUGUUCAUGGAAAUUGCUUGCUGGAAGCUGAAUGCAAAUAAGAAUAUUUUAAAUUACCAAAAGAAUAUCACAAAUUUUCUUCAACCAAGCACACCGCAUGAGAUAAGGUUAGCUAAAUAUCUAUGUUACUCGGACUCGGUUAGAAGUGUCCCACAUAGAUACAUGUGUUGGACUCGGUCACAUGUUUCUUGUUUAAAAUAAGUGUUCUGGUCUAAGUCUCCAUGUCCAAUUGUCGAGUGUCCGACACGGAUAAUCCGGGAUAAACGAAGAGUUCGAGUGACAUAGUUAAACAUAUAUACCACUCUCUCGAUUUUGGAAUAUUGCUCAGCACUGACACAUCUUUUUUGUAAUAUCAGGUCAUGUGAGGCCAGCUUAAACACACCUCCUGGAGGAGGGUCACCUGAAAAUAAUCCCACCUCGUAAACAACCCACUUAAAUCUCUAUCAUUUCUGUGAGGACUCGAACCCGAAAUCGUGGGUGUAGAUUUGAAAUUGAAGAGCAAUAGUAGUUGUGGUUGCGCUGUUUGUGCAACUGUAUCAUUAACAAUUUCUUUCUUUCUUUUUUCUACGAGGAACUUAUCACGAAUCUAAAGAUAAUCAAUUUGCCGACAUUAUCGUUUCCGCUUUGUCCACUACCACUCACAUGGGUGCUUCCUUCUAAGAUUGUAUUAUUAAUAAUUUCUUUCUUUCUUUUUUGCACAAGGAACUUAUCACGAAUCUAAAAAAUAAUUAAUUCGCCGACAUUUUUGCUUCCGCUUUGUCCACUACCGCUCACACGUCUAACGGGUGCUUCCCCUCUAAGACUGUAUCAUUAACACAUUCUUUCUUUCUUUUUUGCAUGAGGAACUUAUCAUGAAUUGCAUCGCUUCCAUCAUUGCUGCGGGAUUGACCGUAGUGCCUGUAGGGCUUGCUUCUAUUGGACAUGGAGUUGGUCAAGUUACUGCUGCAGGCUAAGGUGUAGAAGGGAUCGCUCCUAUAUAUCUUAUUUCCUGUACUUGUAUUGGUUGUAUUUACAUUGUUGGCUGGAUCUCUGGGAAUUCCUUAUUUCCUUUCAAUCACGCUUCUAUUUUUACCCUUUCUUCUUCUUCGUUUCAGAUCGAAAAUAGAAUAGUUUAAAGAGUGAAACUUGGAGAUGGAAGUCUUCUUUCCGGUCCUGCAGCUAUAUAUCCUUCUAGUGGUGUUAAAAUAGAUGUAAUUGGGUAGCAUCAGUGGAAUAGAUUUCAAUCUUAAUCAAACAGCAAUAUUUGCCCUCUACGUUUAAUGGUUUUCACACAAAGCUUUCUCUACAACUAUCAAUAAUUAUCUUAUAUCUAAGUGUUGAUAUAAGUUAGUCAGAACUAAUUAACUCAAUGUGCGAUAAUCAGUCAGCUAUGUACAAUACAAAAUUCGUCGCUCUCUCUUGUAUGUGAAGCUUCAUAACAUACUCUCUUCUAGAUAAUUUAAUACAGUUAUUUUCCUUGCAAAUUGAAAAAAAUUUGUCUGAAAAAUUAAACCUUGUCAGUUGUCACUUAUAUAUGAGCAGCAUAUAUGCAGUCCUUUGUUCUGAUAAUAACAUGAAUAUUUGUUAUUACAUUAAUGGUGAUAUAGCUGUAUUACAUAAAUGAAAACUAGAUCGAUUAAAUAUUACAGCAAUUGUGAUAUAGCUGGUCAUUGACUUGGAAACUUAGAAUUUGUUUAUCUUAUUCGAAACUGGAGCAAAAGCUGAGGACGAGAACUGCCAUGAUCUCUCUUGCGAUGAUCUCUUUACAUAAAAAGAGAAGGAAUCGCCUAAUGACGAAAAUUCCUUCUCAUCCUCGUGGAUAGUAUCCAACACUUUCGACAUGCAAUGCCGUCUCAUGGAAGUGACAAACCGUGGUGGUGCCAUUUCAGAAACAUACCUGGCCAUGAGAGAGGUCGCCAUAUGUUUAAUCUUUUUAACUGAAGAAUGGAAAACCAGGUAGAAUUGAACUAAGACUGAAGUGUUGUGAAGUGUUGUGAUUUCAACUGUGUUCUUGUUUGAUACUUAUAGAGGUUCCGUUAGAGAAGUAAUUAAAGCUAAAAGUGGAUAACUGCUUCUGAAAUGUAGGCUUUUGGCUAUAACCGCGUUACUAGUCAUAAUCUGAG